GGGACCUUGGCCAUGGCCUCAGACUCUACCCUACCCUUAUAGUAAUUUGGCAAGACAUAGAAUCAGGAAUGCUGACCAGCUCUAGGCCUCAAUUUCCCCAUCUGCACAAGAAAAGGGCUGGACUUCAUGUUGCUCUCCUACGUCUCUGACCUUUAUAAGUGAAGGAGUCUGAUUCUGCCAGGACCGUUUUAGCUGCCCUGUGAGUGCAUCCGGCAACUCCUGCUUCUGCCUGGUCUGGAAAAACUUGGUAUCUGCUGCCCCUCCAUGGGGUAGAGCUUUGCAGGGCUCCCGCAGGCCCACCAGCUAGGGCACUCUGCCACUACCCUCUGGGCCUCCCUAACAUCCACCAAUUCUAGCUCCCAUCCUAUGCAGGCAACCACAGAAGACAAUUCCAACCAACUGCGGUUCCCAGUCCUCCCAGAGAGGAAAGAUCUUCUCUCCAGGGGUGCCCUGUCUGUUUUCAGCAUAAAUGCCCAAAGUGUUCAGAAAGAAAGUUCAGGGGAGGAAAAAAACUGGCUUUAGUAAAACUCGGCUUUUCCCUACAACGAAAACUUGCUUUGGCGUUAAGGCAACGUCGCCAUCUGGUGGCCUGACAUAGAAAUAACUAGACAGAGGGAUGGGUUUCUAGUCCACAGCAGAUAAGCCACAGAAUCCCAGUCGGAAAGAGCUAGGAGGGUCUUUAAAGCUUGGAUCCCAUCGCCUUGCUUUACUGAGCAACAGAAAUGCUGUAGAGAGAUGGUUUGUGAAUGUCUAGACUAGAACCCAGAUCUGCUGACCUUUAGCUUCACGGGAGGCAGAAGAGGAAGAUCAGAGGAGCUUUCAACUGGCAACCAGCUAAAGGGUUUACAAAGAUAAGGAGGAAACAUCAGAAGCCGGAGGAAAAGAGCAUGGACUGAUUUGGGAACCGAAAUUUCUGUUUCAUGUUUCCAGCCCAGGAGGCAAUCGAGCUUGCUUUAAUGCUCUGGGACAGCAAGACAUAUUUGACCGAAUAGCAGGGGAUUGCUUUCUGUUUGGGGAUUUUGGAUCCUGAAGAUAAUCAUCUUCCAGUGUGCCCAGUGGAGAAGGCAUCCUGCAAAGUUCAAGGGCUUCCCUCCACCACCUCUUCCCACGCUGGGGCGAGGCUGUGCCCUCCGGGCUCCCGGCCUUCUCUUCCAGGCACUGUUUCCCCAUGGCCGCGAGAUCUCCCCAUCAGCGGCGGCUCAGCCCAUCGCCACCCCGCGUGGUGCCAGGCGGGAGAGCCAACCAGGAACUGAGACCUCACCGGCCCCAACCAUGCGCCAGGCGUGCCCAGCCGUCAGCCAAGACCACACCGAUCAGGAGCUGGCAGUUCUAGAUAAGGACAAACAGCUGAAUCCUUUCUUGAUCCCUCCCCCCCUUAAGUUCAGAUCACAUCGGCCUUGCCUCACUCACAACUGGGAGGUUUGAGUAAGGGAGCAAGAGGGGGCGCGGAGAGAAAAAGGGCUAAAACUAAAGAGAAGAGGGAAAGGUUUUCGGGAGAAAUGAGAAACAUCAAGGUACCAGCUGGGGCUGGGGCUGAACCGUGGGAGAAGACAGUGACCUUGGGGACACUGAGGAUUACAAAGAUGCCCCUCACACCUGCCAUGUUACCAGACGUUCAAAUUCUUAUCACUUGUGGGUUGACGAGAAUCUUUUUUUAAAAUGCAAUAUUCCCAGGCCUAUUAAAACAGUCAACUAUGAAUCACACACCUUAUUGUCCAUCGUGGCAGCUGUUUGGUAUCAACCCUACUGUGGAAAUAAGGUAUUGACAGGAAGUGGAGGAAAAGGAAUGAGAUUCUGAGAAACAAUGUUUUCAAAGAAGGGUCAGGCAAAAAAAAAAAAAAAAA